CCUACGGGUGGCAGCAGUGGGGAAUAUUGGACAAUGGGGGAAACUCUGAACCAGCGACGCCGCGUGAGUGAAGAAGGAUUUAGGUAGGUAAAGCUGUAUUUGCAGGAAGGAAAAUGCAGGUACCUGAAUAAGAAGCCACGGCUAACUAGGUGCAAGCGGCGGCGGUAAUACGUAGGGAGCAAGCGUUAUACGGAUUUACUGGGCGUAAAGGGAGCGUAGACGGCAGGGCAAGUCUGGAGUGAAACGCCGGGGUCCAACCCCGGAACUGCUCUGGAAACUGUGCGGCUGGAGUGCAGGAGCGGUAGGCGGAAUGCCUGGUGUAGCGGUGAAAUGCGUAGAUAUCGGGAGGAACACCGGCGGCGAAGGCGGCUUACUGGCCUGUAUCUGACGUUGAGGCUCGAAGGCGUGGGGAGCAAACAGGAUUAGAUACCCGGGUAGUC
rnacentral:rRNA from 1 species